rnacentral:rRNA from 1 species
AGUCGAGGGGCAGCAUGGUCUUAGCUUGCUAAGGCUGAUGGCGACCGGCGCACGGGUGAGUAACACGUAUCCAACCUGCCGUCUACUCUUGGCCAGCCUUCUGAAAGGAAGAUUAAUCCAGGAUGGGAUCAUGAGUUCACAUGUCCGCAUGAUUAAAGGUAUUUUCCGGUAGACGAUGGGGAUGCGUUCCAUUAGAUAGUAGGCGGGGUAACGGCCCACCUAGUCAACGAUGGAUAGGGGUUCUGAGAGGAAGGUCCCCCACAUUGGAACUGAGACACGGUCCAAACUCCUACGGGAGGCAGCAGUGAGGAAUAUUGGUCAAUGGGCGAUGGCCUGAACCAGCCAAGUAGCGUGAAGGAUGACUGCCCUAUGGGUUGUAAACUUCUUUUAUAAAGGAAUAAAGUCGGGUAUGCAUACCCGUUUGCAUGUACUUUAUGAAUAAGGAUCGGCUAACUCCGUGCCAGCAGCCGCGGUGAUACGGAGGAUCCGAGCGUUAUCCGGAUUUAUUGGGUUUAAAGGGAGCGUAGAUGGAUGUUUAAGUCAGUUGUGAAAGUUUGCGGCUCAACCGUAAAAUUGCAGUUGAUACUGGAUGUCUUGAGUGCAGUUGAGGCAGCGGAAUUCGUGGUGUAGCGGUGAAAUGCUUAGAUAUCACGAAGAACUCCGAUUGCGAA